rnacentral:rRNA from 1 species
CUUUUUUUUGGGAAAUUGUAUUGAAUAGAAUAGAAUUCUGUUGAGCAAUCAAGCUAUCAUCAUUCAUUAUCUAAGUGAGAAGGGUGUUUUAUGUGAAAGUUCCUAACAUAUAGCUGUGAGGUAGGCAGAUGACGCAGGGUAAACUUGAGAGCGCUUUUGUACCUCGUGUAUCAGGGCGUAAGGAGUGCUGCAAUCUAUUCAUUGAUAUCCCGAAGUAAGGAGAUCUUGCCUAUUAUAUUGCUAACUGGGAGUAGAAUGUAGUGGAAGUUGACAUCUAUAAUUCCGGGCAAGAAGUGAAAAGUUAGUCGUUUCUUAUGAUAUCUGGUUCUGGUUUAUAUGGGUUUAAUCCUAGAGCAGUUGGUUUGUGUAGCUAAAUCGCUUGCUGUAGAAGUACUUGGGGGACAAGCUCCUGGUACUAAGUGUGUAUUCUCUCUUACAUUCUUGUUGUUAUGAGUCUAAAUGAAAGAAAGUCUUACUGAGAUUACUUAUUUAUGAUACCUACAAUCUCAACAAUAUGGCCGGGAAGGCUUGUAAUAGUGACAAAGUCUAACAUAAUCUUGCGACUAGUAGGCAAGUAAAAGUGAACUAGGCCAAAGGAACUCGGCAAACAAGUGUUCCGAAUGUUUAUUAAAAACAUAGUCUUUAUGGUGUAUUGAAGGUGGCGCCUGCUCAAUGCACGUGUGUGUAAAUAGCCGCAGUAUCCUGACUGUGCUAAGGUAGCAUAAUCAGUUGUUCUUUAAUUGAGAGCUAGUAUGAAUGGUGUUACGAGAUCACUACUGUCUCUGGUCUAGUGGCUAAAUCUAAGGUUCGGGUCAAAACGCCCGCGUGCUAUAGUGGGACGAUAAGACCCUUUAGAUCUUGUCUGAGACAUUUUAUUUUUAUAGAUUGAAGUGCUAAAGAUUACCUGGGAAAUGGGCCAAAAAAUGACAAACUUAGGAUGAGUUAAAGAUAGAUAUGCCGUGCAAAAUGAACCUUCUGGUAGGGUAAAUAGAAGUAGAUACCUAAGGGAUAACAGCGCAAUAUUACUACCUAGACCUUAUAGGCAGUGCUGGUUGCGACCUCGAUGUUGAAUUAAAUGAAUCUCUGGUAGUAGAACACCUUGAGAGAGAGGUCUGUUCGACCUGGACAGUUUUACAUGAUUUGAGUUUAGACCGACGUGAGUCAGGUCAGAUUCUAUCUACUAUUAUAUAAACAAGUUCCCUUCGUACGAAAGGAGCAGGGAGUUUGGAUGUACCAAUAUUCCAAUCAUUAUUUCUAACUUACACAAAAAGUGGGU